GAUGAACGCUGGCGGCGUGCCUAAUACAUGCAAGUCGAGCGAACAGACGAGGAGCUUGCUCCUCUGACGUUAGCGGCGGACGGGUGAGUAACACGUGGAUAACCUACCUAUAAGACUGGGAUAACUUCGGGAAACCGGAGCUAAUACCGGAUAAUAUAUUGAACCGCAUGGUUCAAUAGUUAAAGACGGUUUUGCUGUCACUUAUAGAUGGAUCCGCGCCGCAUUAGCUAGUUGGUAAGGUAACGGCUUACCAAGGCGACGAGGCGUAGCCGACCUGAGAGGGUGAUCGGCCACACUAGAACUGGAACACGGUCCAGACUCCUACGGGAGGCAGCAGUAGCGAAUCUUCCGCAAUGGGCGAAAGCCUGACGGAGCAACGCCGCGUGAGUGAUGAAGGUCUUCGGAUCGUAAAACUCUGUUAUUAGGGAAGAACAAAUGUGUAAGUAACUAUGCACGUCUUGACGGUACCUAAUCAGAAAGCCACGGCUAACUACGUG
rnacentral:rRNA from 1 species